rnacentral:rRNA from 1 species
UGGGGGAUAUUGCACAAUGGGCGAAAGCCUGAUGCAGCGACGCCGCGUGGGGGAUGAAGGCCUUCGGGUUGUAAACUUCUUUUGCUCUGAACAAGGCAUGCUAAUGGGUGUGUUGAGUGUAGGGGUUGAUUAGCGCCGGCUAACUACGUGCCAGCAGCCGCGGUAAUACGUAGGGCGCGAGCGUUGUCCGGAAUUAUUGGGCGUAAAGGGCUUGUAGGUGGCUGGUUGCGUCUGUCGUGAAAGCUCAUGGCUUAACUGUGGGUUUGCGGUGGGUACGGGCUGGCUUGAGUGCAGUAGGGGGGGCUGGAAUUCCUGGUGUAGCGGUGGAAUGCGCAGAUAUCAGGAGGAAUACCGGUGGCGAAGGCGGGUCUCUGGGCUGUUACUGACACUGAGGAGCGAAAGCAUGGGGAGCGAACAGG